AUUGAACGCUGGCGGCAUGCUUUACACAUGCAAGUCGAACGGUAACAGGCCUUCUGGUGCUGACGAGUGGCGAACGGGUGAGUAAUGCAUCGGAACGUGCCCAGAGGUGGGGGAUAACGCAGCGAAAGCUGUGCUAAUACCGCAUGUGAUCUGAGGAUGAAAGCGGGGGACCAGGCAGCAAUGUUUGGCCUCGCGCCUUUGGAGCGGCCGAUGUCAGAUUAGGUAGUUGGUGGGGUAAAGGCCUACCAAGCCGACGAUCUGUAGCUGGUCUGAGAGGACGACCAGCCACACUGGGACUGAGACACGGCCCAGACUCCUACGGGAGGCAGCAGUGGGGAAUUUUGGACAAUGGGCGCAAGCCUGAUCCAGCAAUGCCGCGUGCGGGAAGAAGGCCUUCGGGUUGUAAACCGCUUUUGUACGGAACGAAAAGGCUCUGGCUAAUACCUGGGGCUGAUGACGGUACCGUAAGAAUAAGCACCGGCUAACUACGUG
rnacentral:rRNA from 1 species